GCCCCCGUAGCUCAACGGAUAGAGCACCAUCCUUCUAAGUUGGCCGUUGCAGGUUCGAGUCCUGCCGGGGGCA
rnacentral:tRNA from 1 species